UCCACUAGAGACCACGCUUCCCACCUCCACCACUAGAACCCAAUCCUAUCUCUCCCCACCGCUGGCGAACGCCACCACCGCCGACUUCUAGGCAGUCCAAUAUUGCCCCACCACGAAGAUAAUUGGACAUGUGGGGAGCAAGACACAGCCAGCCCGAUACAUUACUUAGCAUCACUCUAUCCAAGCAAGGCCUACUUGCAUGCAGCCGAACUGCCAAAUUGUAAGUAGAAGAAUUUUUGUUUGGAAAAAGCUGCAGCAACCAAGAUGAUUCAUGAGUUUAAAUAAAGAGAUAUUGGCACAGAGAUGACUCCGCUUGGCAGUUCAACAACUUCGAGAUGCCACAUUCC